rnacentral:rRNA from 1 species
AACGAACGCUGGCGGCGCGUUUUAAGCAUGCAAGUCGAGCGGCAGGGGGGCUUCGGUCCCCCGAGAGCGGCGGACGGGUGAGUAACACGUGGACAACCUGCCCCCCGGUUCGGGAUAGCCCAGGGAAACCUGGAUCAAUACCGGAUGCGAGGGCGGCCGCACAAGCGGCCGUCGGGAAAGGCGCUUCGGCGCCGCCGGGGGAUGGGUCCGCGUCCCAUUAGCUAGACGGUGGGGUAACGGCCCACCGUGGCGAUGAUGGGUAGCCGGCCUGAGAGGGUGGACGGCCACAUUGGAACUGAGACACGGUCCAGACUCCUACGGGAGGCAGCAGCUAAGAAUCUUCCGCAAUGGGCGAAAGCCUGACGGAGCGACGCCGCGUGAACGAAGAAGGCCGUGAGGUUGUAAAGUUCUUUUCGGGAGGGGGAACGAGGCUGCCAGGCAAUGGGCGGCCGAUGACGUGAAUCCCGGAAUAAGCCCGGCUAACUACGUG